rnacentral:rRNA from 1 species
GAUGAACGCUGGCGGCGUGCCUAACACAUGCAAGUCGAGCGAAAGGACGAGAAGUUUGCUUCGCUGAUGAUAGGGGAAGGGGGGAGUGUAACAUGUGGAUAACCCCCCUAUCAGACGGGGAUCACUUCGGAAAAGGGUAGAUAAUCCAGGAUAAUAUCUUGAACCAGAUGGUUCAAAAGUGAACUACGGUCUUGCUGUCACUUAUAGAUGGAUCCGCGCUGGAUUAGGUAGUAGGUGGGGUAAAGGCCUAACAAGGCGACGAUGAGUGACCGGUGUGAGAGGACGACAGGCGACACGGGGACGGAGACACGGCCGAGAGUCCUACGGGAGGAAGCAGUGGGGAAUGUUAGACAAUGGGCGGAAGCCUGAUCCAGCAGUGCCGCGUGUGUGAAGAAGGCCUUGGGGUUGUAAAGCACGUUUGUCCGGAAAGAAAUGCUUGGCCCUAAUACGGUCGGGGGAUGACGGUACCGGAUGAAUAAGCACCGGCUAACUACGUG